CUGUGCUCUAACAGUUGUGGUUUUUCUUCGCUUUGGACGAGGAAGCUAUGGGGACUGCACUGAAAUGCUUCGUCUUAUUGUAGAUCUUGUGGAGGCAAGCAUCUAUGCCGAUAAUCCAGAAUGGAGCAUUGAUGAGCAGAUAGCAAAGGAUAUACAACUUAUAGAU